rnacentral:tRNA from 1 species
GGAGAGAUGCCUGAGUGGUUGAAAGGGGCACCCUGCUAAGGUGUUAGCCGUGUAAGCGGCUCGAGGGUUCGAAUCCCUCUCUCUCCGC